CCUACGGGUGGCUGCAGUGAGGAAUAUUGGUCAAUGGGCGCGAGCCUGAACCAGCCAAGUCGCGUGAGGGACGACUGCCCUAUGGGUUGUAAACCUCUUUUAUCGGGGAGUAAAAGGCGGCCCGUGUGGCGUUUCGUAUGUACCCUAAGAAAAAGCAUCGGCUAACUCCGUGCCAGCAGCCGCGGUAAUCCGGAGGAGGCGAGCGUUAUCCGGAUUUAUUGGGUUUAAAGGGUGGGCAGGCGGAUUAUAAAGUCAUUGUGAAAAUUGGGGGGCUAAACCGAAUCGAGCAGUUGAAAAUGGUUGUCUUGAGUAAGCGAGAGGUAUGCGGAAUGCGUGGUGUAGCGGUGAAAUGCAUAGAUAUCACGCAGAACUCCGAUUGCGAAGGCAGCAUAC
rnacentral:rRNA from 1 species